rnacentral:lncRNA from 1 species
UUAAUUUCUAAAAACGCUCUCUAAAAAUUCUUUUAAAAAAUGAAAAACCCACUCUAAUAUUUUCACUUAUAGGUACGAAGUAACUCGAAUUUUUCUGUCCUCCCGUUCUAGACACCCAGUUUUUGAGCGGGAAGUAUUCUUCCUCCCGAAUCAAAUAGGGUUGCCUGUAAACCUGCAGAUUCUUUUAUGUUCUAUAGAUCAUGCAAUCGAAUAUAUUUGAUUGACUGAACUUCAUUUCAGCUUGAUGGGUAUGAAAUUUAAUUUCUAUGCGAUGAUGUGUUUUCUGAUUAUUAUUUUCUCAUUAGGAUAACUAUAAUUUGUAGAACAUAAGG